rnacentral:rRNA from 1 species
AGCAGCCGCGGUAAUUCCAGCUCCAAUAGCGUAUAUUAAAGUUGUUGCAGUUAAAAAGCUCGUAGUUGAAUUUCGGGAUCAAUACGUCGGUCGUGCUUCGGUACGUACUGGUGUCAUUGAUUUCUCCCUUCUGACGAACCAUGAUGUCAUUAACUUGGUGUCAUGGGAAAUCAGGACUGUUACUUUGAAAAAUUAGAGUGUUUAAAGCAGGCUCACGCUUGAAUACAUUAGCAUGGAAUAAUGAAAUAGGACGUUCGAUCCUAUUUUGUUGGUUUCUAGGAUCAACGUAAUGAUUAAUAGGGAUAGUUGGGGGCAUUAGUAUUCAAUUGUCAGAGGUGAAAUUCUUGGAUUUAUUGAAGACUAACUACUGCGAAAGCAUUUGCCAAGGAUGUUUUCAUUAAUCAAGAACGAAAGUUAGGGGAUCGAAGACGAUCAGAUACCGUCGUAGUC